rnacentral:rRNA from 1 species
ACGAACGCUGGCGGCGUGCCUAAUACAUGCAAGUUGAGCGCUGAAGGUUGGUACUUGUACCAACUGGAUGAGCAGCGAACGGGUGAGUAACGCGUGGGGAAUCUGCCUUUGAGCGGGGGACAACAUUUGGAAACGAAUGCUAAUACCGCAUAAAAACUUUAAACACAAGUUUUAAGUUUGAAAGAUGCAAUUGCAUCACUCAAAGAUGAUCCCGCGUUGUAUUAGCUAGUUGGUGAGGUAAAGGCUCACCAAGGCGAUGAUACAUAGCCGACCUGAGAGGGUGAUCGGCCACAUUGGGACUGAGACACGGCCCAAACUCCUACGGGAGGCAGCAGUAGGGAAUCUUCGGCAAUGAACGAAAGUCUGACCGAGCAACGCCGCGUGAGUGAAGAAGGUUUUCGGAUCGUAAAACUCUGUUGGUAGAGAAGAACGUUGGUGAGAGUGGAAAGCUCAUCAAGUGACGGUAACUACCAGAAAGGGACGGCUAACUACGUG